rnacentral:rRNA from 1 species
AGUGAACGCUGGCGGCAGGCCUAACACAUGCAAGUCGAGCGGCAGCGCGGGGGCAACCCUGGCGGCGAGCGGCGGACGGGUGAGGAAUUCGUCGGAAUCUGCCUUUUUGUGGGGGAUAACGUAGGGAAACUUACGCUAAUACCGCAUACGUCCUACGGGAGAAAGUGGGGGACCGCAAGGCCUCACGCAGAAAGAUGAGCCGACGACCGAUUAGCUAGUUGGUGGGGUAAAGGCCCACCAAGGCGACGAUCGGUAGCUGGUCUGAGAGGAUGAUCAGCCACACUGGGACUGAGACACGGCCCAGACUCCUACGGGAGGCAGCAGUGGGGAAUAUUGGACAAUGGGCACAAGCCUGAUCCAGCCAUGCCGCGUGUGUGAAGAAGGCCUUCGGGUUGUAAAGCACUUUUGUCCGGAAAGAAAUCCCUGGAGCUAAUACCUUCGGGGGAUGACGGUACCGGAAGAAUAAGCACCGGCUAACUUCGUG